UGUAUGGCCGUGUCCACAAAAUAUCUCACGAUAUCUCGCUGUCAUGUGUGAAAUAUAAUAAAUGCAUCCGUUAUGUAAGGCGCAGCACUGCUCGUUGUGUGCUGCUGAAGGUGAAUUAAACAUGGCUGGUGGAAGACCUUCACCUCAGCAGAAAUCGGGUCAGAGGCGACACACUCAGCAGGGUUUGAGGGAAUUGUGACCCCUGGUGAGAACCGUUCCAUCACAGGCUGCCCAGUCUCUGCCAUUGGAUAUAAGAUUAGGAGAAGAAGCAUCAAGUGUCUUUUACUGACCCGAGUUGGCAAGGCUGCAGAUGAGGCCUAAAGCACUAAAUUUGACCUCCACGGCCACAACAGGAUCAUCUAGCAUCUUUUGCAAGGUGGGCAGGAG